CCAGUCGUGAUCCAGUGAUCAAAAUGUUCCAUUGUCUUUUCAUUGUUCUAAAAAUUCCACUGUUCUCUAUCUCAAUGUUCUCUACACAUUUGAAAACUGAAAAGUCUUCAUUUACAGUAAUCCAUUCAGUUACAUCUCCAGUUCAGUGCUCCGACCAACGCCCACAUUUGUCGCGUUCGUCCAAAACUCCGUACCUGAGCCAGCGAACCAACACUUUUCUUUCGUUUUCGUUCAAAGAAGAGUCACAAAAUCGAUGCACAUUCUUAGGCGCCUGGUUCAUUUUCCAUUCAAAUACUUGAUGAUAAACAUCUUUGCUAGACUUUCUCUCUGCCAAUAAACUAAAUUUAAACGGGCAAAGAUUAGAAUUCAUUUAUAAAUGAUAAUAAAAGAAUACUUCACAGUUUCAUUAUAGUUGAAGCCUAAUACUUCAUCUAGUCGAGACAAUUUUAGUUCAUUCUAUGACAUUGGUCCAGGAAAUUAUCUACAGAUCAGCGUC
rnacentral:lncRNA from 1 species